AGAGUUUGAUCCUGGCUCAGGAUGAACGCUGGGACUGUGCUUUACACAUGCGAGUUGAACGGUAUAGCAAUCAGGAAGCUAAACACUUUUUGAUCUAGAAAAGUAGCGAACGAGUGAGUAAUACUGUAGAACUUGCCAAAAGCGGGGACAAAAUACCUGAUAGAAUCUAUAUUAACUUAGAGAUGAAAGAUUAAUUUCGCCUUUUGAUAGGCUAUGGGAGGUUUAGGUAGUUGGUGAGGUAAAGGCUUACCAAGCCGAUGAUCCUUAGUUGGUCUGGGAGGUCGGACAACCACGUUGGAACUGAGACAAGGUCCAAGCUUUUUCGGAGGGCAGCAGUGAGGAAUAUUGGGCAAUGAACGAAAGUUUGACCCAGCGACAGUCCGUGAGUGAGUAAAUGAAGGUCAAUCUAUCGGCUGUAAAACUCUUUCGGCGAGUAAAGAUAAUGACAGAACUCGAGGCAAGAAGCCGGGACUAAAUUUUGUGCCAGCAGUCGCGGCAAUACAAAAUCGGCGAGUGUUAUCCGGAGUUAAUGGGCGUAAAGGGUAUGUAGGUUGCUAUUCAAUUAUACUGAGAAAUGCUAGGGAGGAUACCUUAGAAUUUCAGUUUUAAAAUGUUUAGCUUUGAGGAAUAAAGAGGUUGGACGUAUUUCCAGAGUAGAGGUCGAAUUCUUAGAUACUGGAAGGACGAUCAUUUAGCGAAGGCAUCUUUCCAUUUAUUUCUGACGCUGAGGUACGAAGGCAUGGGGAGCAAACAGGAUUAGAUACCCUAGUAGUCC
rnacentral:rRNA from 1 species